ACUGCUUACAUUCUCAAUGCAUGUUCUUAUUGUGUGCGUCAUUGCAUUUGCAAUGACUUUUACUUUCAGAUGAUGCCAUCGAGGGCAUUUAUUUUCUAGCUCCUCCCCCUCCAACCAGCUGGCUCCAUUCUGAUAGGCAACACCCACUUUUUAUGAACCAAUUUCUUUUUCACCCUGACAGACAAAUCACAUUGUGAAAGUAAAAUGGUUUGCAAAUGACAUUUUAUAUUGACUUCUUCAUGUUCUUUUGGCACAGGUCUGAUUUAGACGUCUUUACAAUACUUCACCCAACCUAUGAGUGAACAGUUGUCCUCACUGAUCACUAGACAACCUCCAACACCCUAAACAUCUGUCAUUUUGACACAACAAUUUCAGCAGAAGGACACGUCCACUUCGGCAACCUCCUUGACUAGAAUAGAUCGGUAUAAUUAAUUUACUCAGGACUGUUAUAAGGUGGCACAAAUCCGCGGAUUGAACUGAUAAGAAGAGGUGGCACCGUUGAUGCUGUUAUCAGUGAAACCAUUAUCCUCUUCAAUUAAGAUGAAGAUGUAAAUCCCUAAAGAGGAACUGCUUGUCAAAAAGAGACCUGGGAUUUAUCUCAAACUCAGUACAAAUUAUGUUGUAGAAUGCUUAUACUAGUAGUGUGGCUACCAUUGAUAUUAUCAUAGACUGUGUAUCCGCUUAAAUAAAUAGAUACAGUAUGUUUAAGAAACAAACUUAAAGGGAUAGUUUAGCUAAAAUGAAAAUCCUGUCAUAAUUUUAUCACCGUCAUGUUGUUCAAAACCUAUAUGACUUACAUUCUUCUGUGGAACAUAACAUAUAUUUUGAGGAACAUUUUAAAUGUUUUUGUUCAUACAAUGAAAGUCAGUGGGGAGCAAACAACAUUAAACCCCAAUGAAUUUCAUUUCAUGCAUGAAUUUCAUUUUAUGGAGAGAAAAAAAACAGCUUAUUUAUAUUAAAUGUGUAUACAGUGUAUUUCAAAUCUUAUAUAAAUGAACUGUACUUACAUAUCAUAUAAUAAAAUUUAUAAUAAUUAACUAUUCAUUUUAAGGACCAGUGCUCACUAUUAACUUGUUGUUUAUUAGCAUGCAUAUUGCUAUUAUACUGGCUUUUUAUUAGUACUUAUAAAGCACAUAUUAAUGCCUUAUUCUGCACAGCCAUAUUUUAGAUCCCCUAACCGUAUCCCAUUCUAUUAACUCAUGGUUAAUAGUGAAUAUGUGUUACCUAAUCUAAAGUGUUACCAAUCUUUUUUCAUCCUGUAAAUAGCAUUUUGAAUAAGUGCAUGAUGAUAAUUUUGAACUGUGUUGUUAUUUGAUUAAAUACAUUUUGAACAUACUAAAUUGCAACAGAAAUAUUGUCAUUAAAUAUAUAUUUUCACUCUUAAGUACAUCAUUUUAAAGUAUAUUACUUCAAUAUGAAUUACUCUUUUUACAAGUAUGCUGAAGGGUACUCUUUUUUCACAAGGGAAAAGAAAACCACUGACAUUUUUCAAAAUAUCUUCUUUUAUCUUCUCUAAGUCAUACAAGUUUGGAAUGACAUGAAGGUGAGUACAUGAUGGCAAGUUUUUAAUUUUUGAAUGAACAAUUCCUUUAAACAUACUGUCUAUAUCAAAUAUUGAUUUGAGAAUGUUAUAAAAUAUAUAUUGAGAAGGAGGAGGAGCCCCAUCAUCAUAAUUAUCAUGUUAAAUGGUGCUGUCGUGAGCCUCCACAGCAUUUAGCUGUUACUUUACAUAAAGUUGUCAAUAUCAUCAAGACUCAUUCGAUUACGCUCACAGUGAUGGGGGUGUUACUAGACUUUGAUGCGUGCCGUUUUAAACAGAGCCCUCAUCUUUCUGGAUCCUGGUGUGGGCAUGUCAACAACACACCAAAUUAGUGUUUAUUGAAUCAUUGUUCUAAAUGGGAAAUGAUAAUUGUGAGAGCCGGUGGCUUUGCACAUUACGCAAGUGCUGGUUCAUGACUUUUCGAGAAAAAUGGGCUGCCUUAUUAAAGCUGGCUGCCCCAGCUCCUAAUCUAUUUCUAGGAUUUCCGAAGUUUCAGCAAACUGGGGAUUAGAGGUUUUUUUUUUCCUUCACAGAUUUAGCCUCUGUCCAGCGCUCUCCUUGCUCCCAGAUGGAGCUGAGUUGUUUGCGUCUGCGCUUUUGGCAGUAGCGCCUGUGUUUUGUCUGUAUGUCUGAGGUGCUUUUGAGGUUUGUGAGGUCUUGCUUGUAAACCGUUUGAAGCACAAUACUCCCCUGUGAUAGGUAACCCAGUCAAAACAUAUUAGCACAUUUACCAAACAAAAGUGUCUAUAAACAGAAUUUGGAUGCCUGAUGCAAUAAAAACAACAAUAAUCUUUGAAGCUCCAGCAUUUGUUUUCCAUUAAUGGAUAGCAAUGCAGUCUUGCUCGCAUACGUGAGCUGUUCGUGUGAUAUCAGUGCGGUCUUUGUAAUGGCACCUGGCCUGUCUUGCACAUCAUACAGGCGUUUUGCCUAUUGCGGUCAUCCCCUAAAAGCUUUAUUCUGUCUAGUUCAAAUUCCCUUUGUCUUCAGAUUUCAGAGUUGGAGGUUGCACUCAGAAGUAGAUUUGGAGUGCUACCUCCAAAUUAAAUAGGUAAUAUAUUAUAUUAAAACUUUUAAACUUUAUAUUACAUUUUUUUUUCUCUUUUUUUUUUCUCCUGGUUUAUUAUAUAUAUAGCAUACUUUAGCAUACUUAUUGCUUAAGUACUUAUUACAAAAAUAAUAUGCUAAUCGCGGGACUAAAUGUUAGGUUUUCAGACUCUUGACUAUUCUAUGUUCUAUGUUAAAAUUUAAAUUUAUAUUAUAUUUCAAUAGCUCAAAUUUAUAUUAAAUUCAACGAGCUUAACUUUAUAAGUUU
ensembl:lncRNA